CCCACGAACCCUUGACCUCAAAUC
rnacentral:rRNA from 1 species